rnacentral:rRNA from 1 species
AGAGUUUGAUCCUGGCUCAGAUUGAACGCUGGCGGCAUGCUUUACACAUGCAAGUCGAACGGCAGCGGGGGCUUCGGCCUGCCGGCGAGUGGCGAACGGGUGAGUAAUGCAUCGGAACGUGCCCAUGUCGUGGGGGAUAACGUAUCGAAAGGUACGCUAAUACCGCAUACGUCCUGAGGGAGAAAGCGGGGGAUCUUCGGACCUCGCGCGAUUGGAGCGGCCGAUGUCGGAUUAGCUAGUAGGUGAGGUAAAGGCUCACCUAGGCGACGAUCCGUAGCGGGUCUGAGAGGAUGAUCCGCCACACUGGGACUGAGACACGGCCCAGACUCCUACGGGAGGCAGCAGUGGGGAAUUUUGGACAAUGGGGGCAACCCUGAUCCAGCCAUGCCGCGUGAGUGAAGAAGGCCUUCGGGUUGUAAAGCUCUUUCGGCCGGGAAGAAAUCGUGGUCUCUAACAUAGGCCAUGGAUGACGGUACCGGACUAAGAAGC